UUGCAGCUAUGUCGUGUGCGCCAGGUUUACCGGCGUUACCUCCGGUUCCAGGAAGUCGGUGCAGCAGCAGCAGCAGACGACUCACGCCGGCGAUGAGCCGAUCGGGGCCGUUCAUCGGAGGGAGAGUUGGCGGUGAGAUGUGGACAUAUGCCGGGUUGGUGAACCGCAGCGGAUUUGAUUCAACGGAUGCCAGUGAUUGACACACAAGCUAGCGAACCGUGGGGCGGUCCUGCUGCCUCUUCAUCGGAUGUUUUUCUUUGCCACUGUGCGACCUGACCCAUGGGGCCUUGGGAGCAGCCGUAUACACAGUGUUGCCACUAUAAGAAUAUACUCCGACAAAGCUUCUUGGUCAGACAUCGCAGACUCCGUUUAGAUGCUGCGAUCCCUUUGCAAAGGUGGACGUGUUCAUCUGUCCACGACUUGCACAUCAGGUCAGGAGCCUUCAUGAAUUUUCAUUCGCACCUAAGAGAAAAACAACAAUG